rnacentral:rRNA from 1 species
UACGUAGGGGGCAAGCGUUGUCCGGAUUCAUUGGGCGUAAAGGGCGCGUAGGCGGUGUGUCAAGUCAGGCGUGAAAGCCCCGGGCUCAACCUGGGAACCGCGCUUGAGACUGGCACGCUAGAGUUCGGGAGAGGAUGGUGGAAUUCCCAGUGUAGAGGUGAAAUUCGUAGAUAUUGGGAAGAACACCGAUGGCGAAGGCAGCCAUCUGGACCGACACUGACGCUGAGGCGCGAAAGCGUGGGGAGCAAACAGG